GAGUUUUUAAAAUAUUUACCUAUAAUUGUCAUACUAUCAUUGACUAUUUACUUCAGAUUAUAGGGGAGAAUGGAGUAUUUUUUGCAGACGUGUCUAAUUCCCAUGUAGACAACAGCACCAAGUAUUUCAACAUUGACAAUGUAAUGGUACACUAUCUGACUCACGGAGACAAAAUAUUCCUUCAAAACAAAACCAUCAAGUUUUCUCCGACCAAGACCCAAAUGAAGGGGCAUGAGAAUUACGAUCAUGCGUUAACAACACAAGAUAUAUUUGGCGGGAACAGACGUCACCCGACACAGAAGUCUGAAUUUACAAGAGUCGCUACCAGUAUCUUUGAUUCUCGUUUGGAAACAAGCAGUUAUGGUGAUACUUAUGAAAAUAAUCCAAGAUUCAGAGUUACGAUGUCACGAGCAGUUGCUGGGGCUGAGGGAUUUGUCGAACGAAAACAUAGUUUUCACACAGAUAUUACGUCAUACAGAAAUCUAUAUGUGAAAAUAGACUUUUCGCCAUAAAUUAAGUCUGUUUGUUUGUUGCAUCUGAAUAAACACUGUAGAGCUCUGGA
rnacentral:lncRNA from 1 species